rnacentral:rRNA from 1 species
UACGAAGGGGGCUAGCGUUGCUCGGAAUUACUGGGCGUAAAGCGCGCGUAGGCGGCUUUGCAAGUCGGGUGUGAAAUCCCCAGGCUUAACCUGGGAACUGCAUUCGAGACUGCAUUGCUAGAGUAUGGGAGAGGGAAGUGGAAUUUCCGGUGUAGCGGUGAAAUGCGUAGAUAUCGGAAGGAACAUCAGUGGCGAAAGCGGCUUCCUGGUCCAGCACCGACGUUCAGGCACGAAAGCGUGGGGAGCAAACAGG